rnacentral:tRNA from 1 species
GCGAGAGUGGUGGAAUGGCAGACACGCUAGGCUUAGAACCUAGUGGCCGUAAGGUCGUGGGGGUUCAAGUCCCCCCUCUCGCACCA